UACAGAGGUCUCAACCGUUGUUCGGAUUCAUUGGGCGUAAAGGGUGCGUAGGCGGUCGCGCAAGUCGGAUGUGAAAUCUCAGGGCUUAACUCGGAACGGUCAAGUGAUACUGUCGGACUAGAGUACAGAAGGGGCAACUGGAAUUCUCGGUGUAGCGGUGAAAUGCGUAGAUAUCGAGAGGAACACCUGCGGCGAAGGCGGGUUGCUGGGCUGAUACUGACGCUGAGGCGCGAAAGCCAGGGGAGCAAACGGG
rnacentral:rRNA from 1 species